rnacentral:tRNA from 1 species
GCUGGGGUAGCUCAAGCGGCAGAGCAGCGCAUUCGUAAUGCGCAGGUUAGGGGUUCAAUUCCCCUCCCCAGCU